UACGUAGGGGGCAAGCGUUGUCCGGAAUUAUUGGGCGUAAAGAGCGCGUAGGCGGUCCGAUAAGUCGGCUGUGAAAGUCCAGGGCUCAACCCUGGAAAGCCGGCCGAUACUGUCGGACUAGAGUCCGGAAGAGGCGAGUGGAAUUCCCGGUGUAGCGGUGAAAUGCGCAGAUAUCGGGGAAGGAACACCAUGGCGAAGGCAGCUCGCUGGGACGGUACUGACGCUGAGGCGCGAAAGCGUGGGUAGCGAACAGG
rnacentral:rRNA from 1 species